ensembl:lncRNA
AGUAAAAGUUAAAGGACUGCUGUUGCACCAACCACACCUAUAACUUAACCUGUCUUGCAACUAUGAAAUGGGAACAUGACCAAACAUAGAGGCUGGUGUGAGGUAUCUAAACACGCCCCAAUACCUUGUUUACUUCAGUGCUCUAUAAAUGCACUGUCAAGAGCCAUUACAGUCAGGAGUCACAUCUUUCGUUUUGCUUCAGGCAAAGUAAUUUACUCAACUUGAGUCAAAACACAAGAUGAGUGGACACGGCCACGGUCAGAAGGGACACGCUGGAGAGCAUGGAGGAGAGCAUGGAGGAGAGCAUGGAGGAGAGCAUGGAGGAGAGCAUGGAGGAGAGCAUGGAGGCAAGGGAGAAAAGGGCAAAGGAGGAGAGGGAUGCCAUGGAAAGGCUGAUGAGAUGAAAGGCCACGGCCAUGGAGGCAAAGGCCAAGGACACGAGCACGGGAAGGGACACAACAAAGACUGAAACAGGACAAUGCCAUGUCCAUCUAUCUGCUGUAUACAAGAAUGUUGAUAUAUGAAAUGUAAACUGCAAAAAUUAAAUAAAAUGUCUUGACACU